UGUCUGUUGGUUUUUGGCGUCAGUUUUGAAGCCCUGAAUCGCUCCCUGGGGAUGUGCACUAGAAAACUGAUGGGAACCGGUUUCCUAUCAGCAGCUGAGACGCAAUUCCUGGCUCCACUUUUCCAGGGAAUCACAGUCUGCAGACCUGGACAGCAUCAUGUGCACAGUGUCACAGCUGGAAUUAACCAUGAGGUAUUUAACACUGAAGUGGAAGGGAGGGAUGGAACACCAGGGAGAGGAGCUGCUUGAAACCUGACUCAACCUUCCCCAGCUCUCAGACCUUUCUUGUGCAAUCGAUGUCCCAUCGUUGACAACGUCUGGGAGAAAUGCAGAGAUUUCCUGAGAGCGCUGCCGUGGAAAUUCCUGAGAUUUCUGGUGUGGAUGGACACGAAGGGAAGGAGGAGGCAGCCAUUUAGGAAGUGCAUUUUCCACAGAAAUAAAUCCUUUCUGCUCACCCUC